rnacentral:rRNA from 1 species
AACGAACGCUGGCGGCAGGCCUAACACAUGCAAGUCGCAGGGGAAGCUUGACUUCGGUUGAGUGGAGACUGGCGCACGGGUGAGUAACGCGUGGGAAUCUACCCCGGGGUGGGGGAUAACCGCUGGAAACGGCGGCUAAUACCGCAUACGCCUUGAGAGGGAAAGCUUUAGUGCCCUGGGAGGAGCCCGCGUCCGAUUAGCUAGUUGGUGAGGUAACGGCUUACCAAGGCUUCGAUCGGUAGCUGGUCUGAGAGGAUGAUCAGCCACACUGGGACUGAGACACGGCCCAGACUCCUACGGGAGGCAGCAGUGGGGAAUAUUGGACAAUGGGGGCAACCCUGAUCCAGCCAUGCCGCGUGAGUGAAGAAGGCCUUAGGGUUGUAAAGCUCUUUCACCCGUGAAGAUGAUGACGGUAGCGGGAGAAGAAGCCCCGGCUAACUCCG